UACGUAGGGUGCAAGCGUUGUCCGGAAUUAUUGGGCGUAAAGAGCUCGUAGGCGGUCUGUCGCGUCGGCUGUGAAAUCCCGGGGGCUCCAACCCCGGGCCUGCAGUCGAUACGGGCAGACUAGAGUGCGGUAGGGGAGACUGGAAUUCCUGGUGUGCGGUGAAAUGCGCAGAUAUCAGGAGGAACACCGGUGGCGAAGGCGGGUCUCUGGGCCGUAACUGACGCUGAGGAGCGAAAGCGUGGGGAGCAAACAGG
rnacentral:rRNA from 1 species